GUAAAUAAACAGCUUAACUGCGGGGUGAGUCCUCUGCUCUUUUUGUGCCUCUCAUGGGCAGAGGGAUUAAGGAGGCUCUGAUGUGUAGUGCAGUCACCACUCCUGAGAGAUGGGAUGCCAUGCAGAGAGACCUGGACAGGCUGAGCAGUGAGCCCAGGUGAACCUCAUGGAGUUCAAUAAAUCCAAAUGCCAGGUCUGGCACCUGGGUUGGCAACCACGGCUAUCAGUACCAGCUGGUAGGUGUAAGGAGGGAGAACAGCCCUGCUGAAAAGGACUUGGGGGUACUGGUGGAUGGUGGCUGGACGUGAGCCAACAGUGUGCCCUCGCAGUGCAGAAAGCCAGCCAUAUCCUGGGCUGCAUCAGAAGAAACGUGGUCAGCAGGCUGAGGGAGGUGAUCCUGUCCCUCUGCUCUGCCUGGUGAAGCCACAUCUGGAAUAUUGCAUCCAGUUCUGGGCUCCCCAGUUCAAAAAAGACAGGGAUUUCCUAGAAAGAGUCCAGCAGAUGGCAACAAGGAUGAUAAAGGGCCUGGAGCAUCUCCCAUAUGAGGGAAGACUGAGAGAGCUGGGGCUGUUCAGUCUAGAGAAGAGAAAACCGAGAGUGAAUGUGAUCAAUGUUUAUAAAUAUCUGAAGUGCAGGAGGCAGCUGGAUGAGGCUGGACUCUUCAGUGGAGCGUAGCGAUAUGACAGAGGAGUAAUGGCCAAAAAUCAGAACACGGGAAGUUCCACACAAACAUGAGGAAGACCUUCUUUACAGCGAGGGUGACAAAGCACAGAGCGGGCUGCCCAGAGAGGUUGUGGAGUCUCCUUCUUUGGAGAAGACCCAUCUGGACACCAGCCUGUGUGACCUACAGCAAGGAACCCCCUGUAGCAGAGGGGUUGGAUUCAAUGAUCUCUGGAGGUCCCUUCCAACGCCUGCGAUUCUGUGAACACAGGCAGUCAGAGGUAAAACUCUGGACUCAUUUAUUGCUUCAUACAUGUAACAUAAACAAGUUAGUAUUAUGUGUAUCACUGAAUCUCACUCUUAAAUGGAUAUUUUAUUUUGCCUGGGAAACAGAACUUGAUGAUACCAUAAAUAAACUUGAUGGAACCAUAAUUGGAUGAUAUUAUGAGGAUGUACCCUAUAUGAAAGAUCUUGAGAUGGUUUUCCUAUUCAAAUCACACCUUUUGGAGUUCACAAUGCCCUUCUGAAUGCAACUAACCAAACAUUAAUCUGUCCUUAGCUUUUGCUGUGCUAUUUGCACUAGUAUAUAUUGAUAUUCAAUGAAUUACAUCACGAUGUAUCCUUCCAAGUGCAAUGGUUAAAAAAUCCCAUCAACUCACAUUACCUCUAAGCAGCCCUUGCCAACUAAUUUGUACUGCUCCAAACAUGGAGCACUUUACUGUGAUUAGCUCAGAUACUCACACAGUAAGCCUCCAAAUCCUAUCAUUUAUGUGUUUAGAAGAAGCCUUGCUCCACUGUACUUAAUGUACUCCCGUCAGGUUCCUGACUUCAUAAAUAAAGCAAUGCUCUGGUUUCCCCUAGGAAGUGGGUGGCAUGUUCCUGACUGUACAGGUCAAGUUGAAGCUGUUCUUAAAAUACUUCAUUAGGCAUCAGCCAAGAUCUUCAUGUAUUGUAAGUUUCCUCAUUUUUGAUACAGCUGACUUUCCCAGCUGGUUAGCCUAAUAUUUAUCUACUUGGUAAAAGUCUGUUAGGAUUUCUUCUUCAGAGCCCAUUUGGUUCUCUGCAAUUCCUUGCUUUGGGCAUUGCAAAUUGUAUUACUCAGGGCGGUUUGAUGCGUGAUACAUGGCCACAUUGCAAGCCUAACUCUGCUCUUCAGAAGAAGGCUUUCAUGGUUAAGUGAGUAGCCCGGGAUUUGGGGGAUCUGCACAUACUUCUUGACUCUGUUCUUGUAUUCAGUCCUAAAAUGGUUACCAACCAGCUGUUCAUUUGGGUCCCUGUGUAUAAAAUAAGGCAAUUUAAUCCCUUUCUUUUGCACUUCACUCAGUUCCUUUAGCUCAUUAAUUCUACAGAGCAGCACCUCAAUCGUGCCAUUUCAUAAGGAGAGCACACAGAGAAAUAACGUAGAGCAAGAUUAAACAAUCUGGUAGCUUAUAAAAAUUGAAUUCAGCCCCACAGAGCACUCUCCCUUCCUCCCAGUACCAAGAUAAUACCAUUCUGCUUCUCCCUGAAAUCUAGAGGCACCAGAAGUGGAGAUGGGGAGAUCUGCUGAGCGUUGCGCUCCACCCUUCUGCUCUCAUUGCUCGCCCUAAUGGUAUUUGCAGUGCAAGUAUUUGUACAAUUACAGUCAUAUCUGAGGGCUUUCCCAGAGAUAAGGGGUUUUAUUUCACUUCCUAUCUGAAAAAGCAAUGUAAUUAGUUUAUCCCAUAUUUGUCAAGAGAAAACAAAACCAAACGGUUUAAAUGGUGUUUGGAGGAACUGCUAUGGCAACACACUUCUGCCUUUGGCAUUAUUCAGCUCCUAAAUCUUUAUCCAGCUGUUCCUGUGCUGUGUCUGUGACUCCUGGAUGUGACAUAGAGCAGAGCUAUGGGAAUAAAUAUUCCUGAUUUAGAGAAAAGAAUUGCACAUCCAUCACAGGAAUGUUAUUCAACCCCUUCAAUUAUUUAUCUUCUGCAUUUGUAAUCUGCCAAUUGCAGGUACUCACACUUCUGGGGCGUGGUUAAACGCAGAAGCAAUGUCACCCAUUCUCUUCUGGCUUUCCUUCAGCUCUGCUGAACCAGAACAGACCUGUAACUGUCCUCUGCAAGGGCCUUAAAUAUAUCUUCCCACUUGUUGGACAGGCCUAAUGUAACCCUAAGUGGCCCAACCAACUAGUGCAAGGAGAUGCUGCAAGAUCUCAAGAAUUCAGGGCAGAUGGAGGAACACUUAAAAAGGCCCCCCAAACAGCUACCUUUAAUGGAAUUAGCAAGCUUAUCUAAAUAAAUAAGGAGAAGCUAUUUCUUGUGGAAAAAAAAAAAUCUCAGUGAUUUCCCCUGAGGUAAAAUCAGCAGAGCAAAAAAAAAAAAAAAAAAAGCCAUCUUCUAAAAAAAAUCCCUCACCAUAAACCCAAGGGGACUUGUCAGCUCCACGGCAGAAAUUGGAGAGACCACUCAAGCAAGAAGAGGAUUAGGCUGUCUCCUAUCAAAGCAUGCACAGACUGGAUUUUUCCAGCAACUUCAACAGAAAGAGGGUUGGUUUUUUAUUUUUUAUUUUUUAUUUUUUAUUUUCAUUUCCAAUUGUGGAAAAGAUUGGAAGCAAAAAAAAAAAAAAAAAAAAUUCAAUACAGACCCUGAGGUAAUGUCUUUCCAAUGGGACCAAUGCCUAUGUCCUCCUUCUAGGUCCAUCAGUUUUCACAAUUAUAAAACUGGCCCCGAAGGCAGUGUGAAGGAUUUAAAUAUGUAAAGACCAACGCAUCACACUGCCGGAUUUGGAGGUGAGUUGGCCUGGCUGGAGAAAGGGAAGGAUGUGGGUGGUGACAAAAUGGCUGCUGUGAAGGACCUCUGGAGGACCGCUCAUAGGAAAAUGAGUAGCUGGAAUGGCCAGGCCUCCCAUAGAAACUCAAGGCUGGUUGUUUUACCCCAGAGAGCGUGUAUUUUGCCUCUGGCUUAGUUUAUGAGGCUACCAAGCAGACUGUACUGACAGUGGGGCGCGGGUAAAAUACUGACAGCAGCUCCUUGGGGCUGCGUGGCUUGCUACCAUGAGUCCAGCCUCCUAAUCCCCAUCCCAGACACAUCAGCGCUCAGCUAUUUUGAGUCUGCCUCAGGCUUCCAGAAAUACCAGGCAUGCUCUGAGCACACUCACAUUAGCACAGCCUGUGCCGUGAGAGCGUGGCAUAAGCUUGCUAGCAGAGCAGCUCCAUGCUAAGAGUGCCAUGCGUGCCCACCAAGCCGCCCGCCCACUGCUGUAGGACAGCACUGCUCUGGGUAUAAGCAGCAGAGAUUUGGCAAAUUGAGAACGGACUACAAAUGGAUGAUUCUUUAUUAAAAAUCCUUUUUCUUUCUUUUUCCUCAAUGAACCUUCAUCUUUUCAAACUGUGUAUUUCCUGAGGUGUAUGGUUGGCUCAAAGCAGCAUGAGGAGUGGAUUAAUUAUAUCACUUCUGUAUGAUCCCCAGCACUGUCACAGGGGACCUCGUUGCUCUGAGCCUCUCCUUCUGUAAGGUCCUUUCACUUCCCAUCUCCUUUCGGCUCCAGCUCUCUUCAUUCCUACAGCUUUUCAGAUUGGGCUGGUGACAGCUUUCAGAGGCUCACCUCCAUUUGGUGCAUCCCUUUCUUUAUCUAUAAAUAUUUACUGUUGUGGAGUUUCAAGUUGGAUAUUAGGAAAAAUUUCUCCAAGGGAGAGACAAACAACUUCUCCAGAGGUCAGGCACUGGAACGGGCUGCCCAGGGAGGUAGUGGAGUCACUGUACCUGGAGGUGUUCAAGAAAUGCAUAUAGAUGUGUUACUGAGGGACAUGGUUUAGUGGGUAAUACUGGUGGUAGGUGAAUGGUUGGACUUGAUGAUCUUGGAGGUCUUUUCCAAUCUUGGUGAUUCUAUGAUUCUAUUAUGAGGCUCUGGUAAUUGUUUUGUAGUGAACCAUGAGAGGGCAGUGUAACUGGGUACGUGUGUCUUCACACUUGCUGGUGCAGGGUCUGUUCAGUGCCUGGUCCUUUCUUGUCACACCGUGAUUCAGCCCCACUCCUACCCUCUGCUUUGUGUUUUAACCAGUUUUCCUCUGAAGACAGAAAAAUAUGGUUUUAAUUUGGAGACUGCUUCUAGGCUUUUCAUUCUUCUCAAAGCCAUUCAUUCUAGGACAGACAACAUUUUCCUUCUGUUUCAGCCUCAGAUUCUGGAACCAUUGAGGUAAAUUGCCUCUAUUUAUCCAGCUUUUAGUUAUAAAGCCCUUGCCACUUCCAGAAUUUUUUUCCUUGACACUCUAUCAACAGUUGGGAGAAAAGCAUUAUCUCCUUUCUGUGGGCAUAGAAUGAAGAGAUAAAAUAGCAAUUCUGAUGCCAAAGCUGAAAGCCUUCCUGCCCAGCCUACAGACACCAUCACUUCAUCCACCCUUUUCUAUCUCCUCUUCCCAAGUGGUACAGGGGAAUGGGGCUGCGGUCAGUCCCAAACACUUCAUCACUGCCAUUCUUCCAUGAUCACCUCUCUGCCUCUGUUUCACAUGGGGUCCCUCCCAUGGGAUGCUGUCCUUCCCCAGCUGAUCUUAUGUUGACUUCCCACAGGCUGCAGUUCUUGAAGCACUGCUCCAACAUGGGUUCAUACCAUGGGCCCAUCCUUCAGGAGCUACUCCAACAUGGCUCUGUAACACAGGGCCCACCAUGGACAGCAGCUCUCCCAGCCCUCCUCCCACACUGUGGCCCCUCUCCAUGGGCUGCAGCUCUGGCUCAGGCCCUGCUCCUCUGGGGGCUCUCCCAUGGCUGCAGCCGCCUCCAGGCCACAUCCACUGCUGCGCCGUGGGCUCCUCCAUGGCUGCACAUGGAGAUCUGCUCCGUGUGGUUAUCUUCUGCCUGUAAGGCUCUUCUCUUAUUAAGAAGACAAUAGUAGACAUCUUUAAAACAGCUAUUUAAGGAUUUCAUGCAGUGCGGAAAAGCUUCAGCUCUACAAUAUAGCCAACGCCACACCUGCUGAGCAAGGCUCCUCCAGCCUCUGGGAGCUGUGAGCACUAUGCAAAGGGCUCUAUAUGCCUACAGAAGUACCUUUGCCUUCUAGGUGUCUCAUUUUGUAAAAAAAUGGUAGACAUGACCUCCAUGCCUACCUUCAGUAAGGAGCUCUCCCCAUAGGACAGCUUCCUUGAGGCGGCUGGCUGGUAACAGUGCUCUUCUUAAGCACUGGAGUGACCAUGUUCUGCUUGAAAAUCUAAUCCUAAGUGACUUGUCCAAGUUAAAAUAGAUAAUUUAUUCUGAAGCCAAGAUUUCAAUACAGUUUAAAUUUGCAUCACAUACCUCAAAACUUCUAAAUAGAAUUGCCUCAGUAGAGGGCUACUAUAUUAUCAAAUCGUACUCAAGGAUGCUGCUGAUGUAUAUGUGGCUGUAUCAAGGCUAGCUCUAGUAAACCAUUCAUUGCUCAAUAUCAUUUAAAGUGGGUUCCGUAUAUUUAUGACUUUAUACACUUAGCUUCAGACAUUUUAUUACGAUAAAGAUAAGCUUUCAAAAUAAACAUGUGUGUAUCAUUUUAUAGUGUAAGGAAAGUGACCCUCAUUCCUACCUUGCCUAGUUUUCCUGUUUUAAAAUUUCUUGUCUGGGAUUUGGCUGAUCUGUAAAACCUUACUUGAAUUAUUUCAGAAUAAGUCUGAAGCCUGGGAAACAUUUUCCUGCUAUUCUCCUCACCCCCAGAAAAUCCAUUCAUAUUUUAAAAACUUAAAAUAAAACGAGGAAUUUGCCGGUUCCCAACUGUGAUUUGCUCUUUACAUCUUUUGGAGCAUUGCCAGAAGCUCUCAUCAGUCCAUUAGUGAUGUAUAGAUGGCUAUUCCAAAAUAACAUAUGGCUGGGGACGAGACAUAUAUGUACACGAAAAUAACGGCUGCUGAUUUUGCUAUCAAAAUGCUCUUUGACCUUGACCUUUGUCUGCACUAUAUUAUUAAUUUAAGUCCUGUGUUGUCUCUUCACUUGUAAUAGGUGUUAUGUGUGGCCUUCAUUGCUAACAAAUGGAUACAGAUAUCACAAAUGGGGAAUAAAAUCACAGCACCCCCAAAACCCAAUCUGUCCGCUGGGUUUCUUACUCUUUGCACAACCUCAGCACCCUCCUACUAACAGAGCACAGGAAUAGAAAUAAUAUUAGAAGAUAUUAAACUUGCUUUUAGUACAGAAUAAUUUUAUUUGAAAUCACUAGCCUAAUCCCAAUUGAAUUUAUUUGAUGAAGCACAAGCCCUUGGUGUAGCACAGAUACCAUUUUUUUGGUGUGAAAGCAUAGAUUCUUGCUUAAAAAGAUUUAUAUGAUAUUAAUGACAUAGCUGCAUUUAGAUUGCAUGAAUCAGUAUGUGUCAUAAACUGCUUGAACACUCGUUAAACCUGAUAAAUUAAAUAACCCUCCUGGGCUGGAGAGAGAUGUCGCUGUUAGAUUUUAUGAUAUAUCAUACAUCACAUCUGUUUGUUAUUGUUCUACCCAUGUUAUCCUAUGUGUAAAAGGGAUAAAGCCAGCAGGAGCAAGUCCCACUUAUUUUGGAGGAAACAGCUGCUCUGCAAAUAGGAGAUAGUGGAAAAAAUCUGGAAAUCUGCUGGAGGUCUCCCUGAUAGCCUCAGGAAACACUGCAAGACUUGUCUACAUGGAGAGAGAGCCUGGAGAAUGUUAUUAUGUUAUUAUUAGUUAUUAAACUUCUUUUUUUUUUACUUCAGUAGAGCAGCUUGUAUUCCAAUUUCAAUUGUUGGACUGUGGAAGUGCAGCCACAGGGGCUUGCUGAUCCUUUGCUUGGGUCUCUCAGGCUGGAGCCUGGUCUCCAGCAAUACUGAUUUGUGUCUCCUCUUCCCAGGCAGUGCUGGACUGGGGCCCAGAUCUGCAUUUCAGCAGUGCUCUAAACUUGGUUAAGGCUUGGGUGAAGGGCCAUCACUGACCACUUCUCAAUUUCACUGAACACAGGCUCUCAGGGCCCACCUUUCAUGGUUCCCUACCUUUCACAUCAGCUUUUGCUGUCUCUCAAGGUGGUUACUGCAUGCCAUGGUGCCAUCACCCACUUGUUAAACUUUUCAACAACCGCCCAUAAUACGUUCUUCCAUCGGGCCCUCAGGCUUGGGAGAGCCACCCUGUAAACAGCCGCCAAGCUCCAUCAUUACCUGCCUUCCAAGCUCUUAUUUAAGUUCUCCUUUGCAAUAUGACUUAAGAAAAAGCCACCUCUGAUUUUAUGCAGACUACAAAAGUAUAUCAUGCUAAAUAAUAUACAUUCUUUUUUCAUCAUUUCCCAUAUUUCCUGUCUAGUUUUUAUUUCUUUGACUAUAAACUCUUUGGGAUAAGAAAUGUAUUCUCAUGCGUUUGUUAUUGAGACUCCGAGAAUUGAGAUGAUGUAAAUACACAGUAGGAUAAAUAAAGUGGAUCUUCUCUUUCAUUCUUCUUUUUCAUUAAAGAGGAGAACAUGCCUAAACUUCUUGUUGAUCGGAUGAACUGAACUCAUCUCAGCCUAAUCCUCUCACCUGAUACUGACGUUGUUUCUAAGGUAAUAAGGGGUUGUUAGCACUGGGAGACGUGAGAACACCUCAUUUCAUUUCAUGAUAUAAAAUUCUUAUUCUCUAACACUGCAUUUUGUCGAUAAGCCACUGGAGGGACACCUCCACUACAAAACCAAACCCAGCGCAACCUGCAGGAGAGCUCCCAGCCCCGCUCGCUCCUGCUGCCUCUCAGAUGGAAGACUCCAGCCAGAGGCGGUUAUUUUUCUGGUUAACAAUUAUUUCUGGUUAAAAAUGAAAACUCUAACUUCACCUCGAGUCAUUCGUUCUGCAAACACAGGAGGAAAAGAAAGAAAGGCAAAAUGCAUUGUGUAUCGCUUCAGCCUGGCGUUACAGCUCACAACUUCAUUGAGGGGAUUUCACAAUGUUCCUGCAAAGUCCAAUUUGCAGCUGCAGUAUUUCCCUUUUCUGUAUCAGGACUACUUCUGUUAUUACAAGCCACCUCUUGCCAGAUCCCAAUUUCUUCCAGACUACAUCACCUAAUAUUUACAGCCCAUCCGCUGCUUUCCUGUGAGAAGAAAAAUCACCCAGAAAAAGUGUCAAUCCGGGGAAGAGAUGCCAAAUGUGUCUGAAACAUAUCGUGGUGCAGAUAGGAUUCUAUUUUUGUCUGGAACAGAAGGCAGGAAGCAUUUAUGUUCCUCAGUAUCUAAAUUUAUCUUCCAAAGAAUAUUUAUUAAAGUCACCAUAGAAACAGUAAUUUAGAACUCUUAUUCCAGUUUUUUUUUACAAUUACUAUUUGCUCUACAGCUUGAUCUGUUACACAGAAAAUAAUGAACAGCUCAAGAUCUGUCACAACCUUAUUCUGUACGUUUUUGCUCCUUGAUGGGAAAGCAUAUCUUGUGGCACGUGAAACAGAACUGCUGUGGACCGUUUUCGUACCCUGACAUUUAGAACCAGUGUCCCCCAGUUAGCCCAGCAGUGGGACACAGCCCGAGGCGUUCUCUCUGUGUUAUGGAGGCGAUUGCACACACUGCCUUCCUGCCUGAUUUCCUCAUGCUGAUCGCUUCGGUGUGAAUGCCUCUGAGAUGAGAACUACUCUGGGCAGUGAGCUCCCUGUAAACAAGCAUCCUACAAGUGCCAAGCUCAGAAAUAACUGUUUGCAUGUGCUGAAAAACAACUUUUGUCAUUAGAAUUGUUCCACAAAGAAGCAAACAGGCUAUACACCCACCCAUGUGGCACAGCAUUUCAUGCUAUUUAGAAUGGUGGCUAUUGCAGGUUAACAAUAAGAGCUGCAUAGUUUAUGAUACAACCUACAGUGAACUUCCUAUCUUUGAAGCUUCACCUUUCUUCUCCGAUGCAUUUUCUAAAUGCAACAAUGUAAUCCUGUAUGCACAGGUUAUAUUUAUCACAGCUGGCUUAGGCUGAGACAGAAUUAAUUAGGAAGUGCCUCAAAU
ensembl:lncRNA